GACGAACGCUGGCGGCGUGCUUAACACAUGCAAGUCGAGCGAUGAAGUUCCUUCGGGAACGGAUUAGCGGCGGACGGGUGAGUAACACGUGGGUAACCUGCCUCAUAGAGGGGAAUAGCCUUUCGAAAGGAAGAUUAGUACCGCAUAAGAUUGUAGUAUCGCAUGAUACAGCAAUUAAAGGAGUAAUCCGCUAUGAGAUGGACCCGCGUCGCAUUAGCUAGUUGGUGAGGUAACGGCUCGCCAAGGCGACGAUGCGUAGCCGACCUGAGAGGGUGAUCGGCCACAUUGGGACUGGUACACGGCCCAGACUCCUACGGGAGGCAGCAGUGGGGAAUAUUGCACAAUGGGGGAAACCCUGAUGCAGCAACGCCGCGUGAGUGAUGACGGUCUUCGGAUUGUAAAGCUCUGUCUUCAGGGACGAUAAUGACGGUACCUGAGGAGGAAGCCACGGCUAACUACGUGCCAGCAGCCGCCGUAA
rnacentral:rRNA from 1 species